GUAUUUGUUUUUUUUAAUGGCACAAAAGGCCAAUUGCAACAUUCAUAUACAUUCAUAUGGUGUAUGUGAAAAACAUGGACCUGAACACAAGAAAAGCUGGGCUUGCACACAGCAACUCUCAAACUGAGUUUCCUCAAAACACUCAGAUCUAUGCAAGGUGCACAGGUGGUUCAAAAUGGAGUCAGUGUGCACAUGCUCCUAAAAGCCAGCAACAACCUAACCAAGUUUAUUCAAUAAUGAUCCUUCCGCAGGUUCACCUACGGAAA
rnacentral:misc_RNA from 1 species